UACGGAGGGUGCAAGCGUUGUCCGGAAUCACUGGGCGUAAAGGGCGCGUAGGCGGCUCAUGAAGGCUGUGGUGAAAGUCCGGGGCUCAACCUCGGAUCGGCCGUGGCGACUCGUGGGCUGGAGCACUGUAGAGGCGGGUGGAAUUCCGGGUGUAGCGGUGGAAUGCGUAGAGAUCCGGAAGAACACCAGUGGCGAAGGCGGCCCGCUGGGCAGUGGCUGACGCUGAGGCGCGAAAAGCGUGGGGGAGC
rnacentral:rRNA from 1 species